UUUGAAAUCUGGUACCUUCGGUGCCCGAGUUGUAAUUUGGAGAGGGCAACUUUGGGGCCGUUCCUUGUCUAUGUUCCUUGGAACAGGACGUCAUAGAGGGUGAGAAUCCCGUGUGGCGAGGAGUGCGGUUCUUUGUAAAGUGCCUUCGAAGAGUCGAGUUGUUUGGGAAUGCAGCUCUAAGUGGGUGGUAAAUUCCAUCUAAAGCUAAAUAUUGGCGAGAGACCGAUAGCGAACAAGUACAGUGAUGGAAAGAUGAAAAGAACUUUGAAAAGAGAGUGAAAAAGUACGUGAAAUUGUUGAAAGGGAAGGGCAUUUGAUCAGACAUGGUGUUUUGUGCCCUCUGCUCCUUGUGGGUAGGGGAAUCUCGCAUUUCACUGGGCCAGCAUCAGUUUUGGUGGCAGGAUAAAUCCAUAGGAAUGUAGCUUGCCUCGGUAAGUAUUAUAGCCUGUGGGAAUACUGCCAGCUGGGACUGAGGACUGCGACGUAAGUCAAGGAUGCUGGCAUAAUGGUUAUAUGCCGCCCGUCUG
rnacentral:rRNA from 1 species